AUUUCAAGCGCCAUUUUUACACAAGCGGGUAACAUUCGUUUGCAUUCCCAAACAUUGUUCGCUUGUUUUUUCCUUCAAUUUAUUAAUUUAAUGAGUGAAUAAUAUCAACCAAGAUGCCGCCGCGUUUAAAGCACAUCGAAGUGGAAAACUUCAAGUCCUAUCGUGGGAGGAAGAUCAUCGGACCACUGAAACCGUUCAACGCCGUCAUCGGUCCGAAUGGAUCAGGAAAGUCGAACUUCAUGGACGCCAUCAGUUUUGUUAUGGGAGAGAGAACUCAAUCUCUUAGGGUCAAGAGGCUCAGUGAUUUGAUUCAUGGUGCUGCAAUUAACAAACCCAUUUCUAGAAGCGCUUCAGUAACGGCCGUUUUUUAUAUGGAUGAUGAAGGAAGUGAAGUUGCCUUUCAAAGAUCCGUUCAAGGAUCGUCGUCGGAAUAUCGCAUCAAUAAUAAGAUUGUAUCAAGUCAAGAAUACAUGUCGGACUUGGAAAGAUUGAAGAUUAACGUGAAGGCGAAGAAUUUCUUGGUUUUCCAAGGCGCUGUCGAGAGUGUCGCGAUGAAAAAUCCGAAAGAAAUGACUGCUUUGUUUGAGGAAAUUAGUGGUUCUGGUGCGUUAAAAGAAGAUUACGACCGACUUAAGCACCAAAUGCAGAAAGCACUUGAAGAAAUGAACUUUGCAUACCAAAAGAAGAAAGGCAUCAACGCAGAACGUAAAGAAGCGAGGCUAGAAAAGGAAGAAGCCGACAAAUACGCCCGAUUAAGAGAUGAUUUGAAUGAAAAACAAAUCGAACAACAAUUAUUCCGUCUCUUCUAUAACGAACGCGACAUGAAAAACUACGAAAGCGACUUAAAAUCAAAACAAAAAGAAGUAGAAAAAAUCGAACGCAAAAAAGAAAAAGCCGAAGAGGCGCUCAAAGAAAAAAAGAAAGAACAGGGCAGAAUCGGUCGAGAUUUAGCCAAAGUAGAGCAAGAUAUUCGCGAAGUUGAAGUGGAAAUCUCCAAGAAAAAGCCCCAAUUCAUCAAAGCGAAAGAACGUGUAACUCACAUGCAGAAAAAGCUCGACAGCGCGCGUAAAACACUCGAACAAGCGCAGAAAGCCGACGAGGCGCACAAUCUCGACGUGAAAAAACUAGAAGACGAAUUAGCCGAAGUCGAAAGCUCAAAAAGCGAAUAUGAAAACGCUAUUGCCGGUGAAUCACAAAGCCAAGGACGUGAUGUUCAUCUUGAAGAUGAACAAGUGCGUGAAUAUCAUCGCCUGAAAGAGGAAGCAGCGAAACGCUCAGCAAGAUAUAUGCAAGACCUUGAUUCGGUUAAUCGCGAGCAGAAAUCCGAUCAGGAUCGGCUGGAUAACGUGGCGAGAAUGCGCACAGAAGCAGAAAAUACACACAGACAAAAAGAGCAUGAGAAGGAGGAGAUGGAGAAGCGUAUUGAUAAAUUGAAUGAACAUAUUAAGACUUCUGAGCAGGCUUUGCAUGAUCAACGACAAUUGCGACAGGAUUUACAAUCAGAUGUUGGAUCAUCAAAGGAUCGUGUACAAGAAGUGCAGAGGCAGUUGGAGGAUGUAAGUGAGCAGUUGGGUGAUGCACGAACAGAUAAACAUGAAGAUUCUAGAAGGAAGAAGAGGCAAGAGAUUGUGGAGAGGUUCAAGAGUAAUUAUCCUGGUGUGUUUGAUAGGAUGAUAAAUAUGUGUCAGCCGACGCAUAAGCGGUAUAAUGUUGCCAUUACGAAGGUUUUGGGCAAGUUUAUGGAGGCUAUUGUUGUGGAUACAGAGCAAACAGCGCGUAAUUGCAUCAAAUACUUGAAGGAACAAAUGUUGGAUCCAGAAACUUUUCUUCCUAUUUCCUAUCUGCAGUUGAAACCGCUGAAAGAGCGUUUGAGGAAUAUUUCUGACCCGAAAGGUGUGCGUUUGUUGUAUGAUGUUCUGCAGUUUGAUCCUCAAGAUAUUGAAAAUGCUGUUUUGUUCGUUACGAAUAAUUCUUUGGUGUGUGAAACUCCUGAGGAUGCUAUGAAGGUUGCCUAUGAUAUAGGUGGACGAUAUGACGCUGUUGCAUUGGAUGGUACUUUUUACAAUAAAUCUGGUAUUAUUUCGGGUGGUUCAUUGGAUCUUGCGAGGAAAGCAAAGCGUUGGGAUGAGAAACACAUGUCGCAGCUGAAGGCACAGAAGGAGAAACUUACUGAAGAGUUGAGAGAGGCUAUGAAGAAGAGCAGGAAGGAGUCGGAGUUGAAUACAGUCGAUUCUCAGAUUAGAGGAACUGAGACACGAUUAAAGUAUGCCAAAACCGACAUGGAGAGUACAAAUAAACAAAUCCAUAAAAUCAACGACGAUUUGAAACGCCUCUCGCAAGAAAUCGCCAAAUACGGCCCUGACAUUGAAGACAUCGAGCGCUCAAUGCAAGUCCGCGAGCAACAAAUCGAAGAAAUCAAACUCCAGAUGAACAGCGUCGAAGACGUCGUCUUCUCCGACUUCUGCCAAGAAAUCGGCGUGAAAAACAUCCGUCAAUACGAAGACCGCGAACUACGCACACAGGAAGAACGCAAACAAAAACGCCUCGAAUUCCAGAAGCAAAUCAACCGUAUCACUUCAAAUUUAGAAUUUGAACGCAGUCGUGACACUCAAACAAAUGUAAGUCGCUGGGAGCGCACCGUAAACGACGAGGAAGAAAAAUUAGAAUCAUGCAAAAAAGCCGAACAGAAACAACGCGAUGAAAUCGAUAAAGAUUUGAAAACAAUCGAGAAACUCAAAUCGGAUCGACUCACACACAAACAAGAAUGUGACGCGAUGGAAGAAGAAGUCGGAAAAUGUCGACGUGAAGUAGGCACCAUCGCAAAGGAUAUACAAGCUGUUCAGAAACAAGUCACCAGCAUCGAGAAUAAAAUCGAGAGCAAAAAAGGCGACAGGCAUAACAUCCUAAUGCAAUGCAAGAUGGACGACAUCGCUAUUCCAAUGCUGAUUGGAAACAUGGAAGAUAUCGUCCAACAGGAUCAUAAUCAAAGCACAUCGGAUGUAACAACAUCAAGUGUUGUAUACGAACGAGAAUCACGUAUACAAAUUGAUUAUGAGAUGUUAUCCGACAAUUUAAAAGAUCUCGAAGAAAAAGAUGAGGUUAAAAAGAUGUCUGACAAGUUGCAGAAGGCGAUUAAUAACCUCCAUGAUACUUUGAUGAAGAUUCAAGCGCCGAAUAUGAAAGCGAUACAAAAACUUGAACUCGCACAAGGAAAACUUCAAUCAACAAACGAAGAAUUUGAAUCGCUGCGUAAACAGAACAAGAAAACAAAGGCGGCGUUUGAAAGAGUGAAACAACAGCGUUAUGAACGUUUCACGAAGUGUUUUGAUCACGUAUCGAAUGAAAUCGAUACGAUUUAUAAGAAAUUGGCGCAGAAUCAAUCUGCGCAGGCGUUCCUCGGUGCGGAAAACCCCGAGGAACCAUUUUUGGACGGGAUUAAUUAUAAUUGUGUCGCGCCAGGUAAGAGAUUCCAGCCGAUGUCGAAUUUAUCCGGUGGAGAGAAAACUGUCGCCGCGUUGGCGCUGUUGUUUGCUAUACAUAGUUAUCAACCGGCGCCAUUUUUUGUUCUGGAUGAGGUGGAUGCCGCGUUGGAUAAUACUAACAUCGGUAAAGUGGCUAAGUACAUCACGCAGAAGACCGAAUCGCUGCAGACAAUUGUUAUUUCAUUGAAAGAAGAGUUUUAUUCGCAUGCGGAUGCGUUGAUUGGGAUUUGUCCAGAGCCUGGCGAUUGUUUGAUCAGUCAAGUUUUGACGUUUGAUUUGACAAAGUACCCGUUGUGAGAAGGUAGUUUUUUUUUUAAUUUUCAGUUUAGUUUUUAUUAUACCUAAUAAGAUAUAAUUGUAUAAUGGAAUCAAUUUUCGAAAAAUUAUGAUUGCUAAUGGUGUCUCUCGUUAGACUCUCGGCGCGUCGAGUGAAAGCUCCCCACUUGCGCCGCUUUCCCAGCUUUCACGCCGCGUCACGUGACGUGCGCCUCUGGUUGGUGACGUUUAACCA